rnacentral:rRNA from 2 species
UAUACAUGCAGUCGAGCGAAGAGAUGGGAGCUUGCUCCCUGAUCUUAGCGGCGGACGGGUGAGUAACACGUGGGCAACCUGCCCUGCAGACUGGGAUAACUCCGGGAAACCGGAGCUAAUACCGGGUAAUACAUCGCACCGCAUGGUGCAAUGUUGAAAGUUGGCCUUUGGCUAACACUGCAGGAUGGGCCCGCGGCGCAUUAGCUAGUUGGUAAGGUAACGGCUUACCAAGGCGACGAUGCGUAGCCGACCUGAGAGGGUGAUCGGCCACACUGGGACUGAGACACGGCCCAGACUCCUACGGGAGGCAGCAGUAGGGAAUCUUCCGCAAUGGACGAAAGUCUGACGGAGCAACGCCGCGUGAGUGACGAAGGCCUUCGGGUCGUAAAGCUCUGUUGUUAGGGAAGAACAAGUACCGUUCGAAUAGGGCGGUACCUUGACGGUACCUAACCAGAAAGCCACGGCUAACUACGUGCCAGCAGCCGCGGUAAUACGUAGGUGGCAAGCGUUGUCCGGAAUUAUUGGGCGUAAAGCGCGCGCAGGCGGUCUUUUAAGUCUGAUGUGAAAGCCCACGGCUCAACCGUGGAGGGUCAUUGGAAACUGGAGGACUUGAGUGCAGAAGAGGAGAGUGGAAUUCCACGUGUAGCGGUGAAAUGCGUAGAUAUGUGGAGGAACACCAGUGGCGAAGGCGGCUCUCUGGUCUGUAACUGACGCUGAG